rnacentral:rRNA from 1 species
GACGAACGCUGGCGGCGUGCCUAAUACAUGCAAGUAGAACGCACAGUUUAUACCGUAGCUUGCUACACCAUAGACUGUGAGUUGCGAACGGGUGAGUAACGCGUAGGUAACCUGCCUGGUAGCGGGGGAUAACUAUUGGAAACGAUAGCUAAUACCGCAUAAUAUUAAUUAUUGCAUGAUAAUUAAUUGAAAGGUGCAAUUGCACCACUACCAGAUGGACCUGCGUUGUAUUAGUUAGUAGGUGAGGUAACGGCUCACCUAGGCGACGAUACAUAGCCGACCUGAGAGGGUGAUCGGCCACACUGGGACUGAGACACGGCCCAGACUCCUACGGGAGGCAGCAGUAGGGAAUCUUCGGCAAUGGACGAAAGUCUGACCGAACAACGCCGCGUGAGUGAAGAAGGUUGUCGGAUCGUAAAGCUCUGUUGUAAGAGAAGAACGGGUGUGAGAGUGGAAAGUUCACACUGUGACGGUAUCUUACCAGAAAGGGACGGCUAACUACGUG